CAAACAGAUGAGAUGUUGGACAGAUUUUACUGCUAAAAUUUGAAUAAAUAAAAUUAUAUAUAUAUAUAUAUAUAUAUAUAUAUUUUUUUUUAAACUUUAGACUUUUUUAUUUUUAAGUCUAAAAUCCAGAUCCUGCCACAACUGAAUUAUCAUCCUCUGCAGAUAUCACUUUUAUGUAUUUAAUGUCAGAAACACAUUGCUAUAUUUUUUUUUUUUUUUUUUUUUUGCCAGGAGCAAAAUAUCUUAGUCUUUGACAUGUAUACAUUUUUAAAAAAGACAAUGCAAAAGUUGACUGUGAGCACAGUACCACAGGCAUGCCUGAAGAAGAAGAGACUGUGAUUACUGCACAGCCUCCCUGAGGUCCUGACCCAGCCUCAGCUGAGACUUUGUGGAGAACUUAUAAAGGGAAAAAAUGCCCUGUUGACCUCUCCCUCUCUUGCACGUCUUAAGAAAUAUUUGCCACAAGAAUAGAAAAUGACACCUGAAUCCCUUUAUCACUUGAUAUCUUUAGUGCCGGAGUGUCCCCGAAGUGCUCAGAGAAAAAAAUAGCCAGGAGCCAAAAGUUUUGCCGUCCCAACGUUCUUGGAGAGAGCUGCAGUGCAAGAAUAUAGGUGUGCUGACAAUGUUAAUUAAGAAAGAAAAAAAUAUUACGAAAAGCACAAAAUAAUCAAGAAUUUGCUUUUUGAUUUCUCAAAUUUUUGACACACUGUUUUUACAGUCUGAAUGAAGAUACAGUAAUCCGGCUGCUGUCAGACGUUUUUUUUUUUUUUUUUGGUUCUAGCGCUGACAAAGAUUAAUCAGUGAGUUUGAAAUUUUCUUGCAGCAACACAAGGCCACUCCGAGCUGAGAAAGUGUGACAGAAGGGGUUUCCUUAAUGGAUAGGCAGGACCCCGGGAGGCAUAAAGGUCACAAGCAUCCCAUCAAUCACUUCACCAGGAGCAAACUGGAGCCUCCACACUUAAAGGAACAGAGGAAGGAGCUUUUGUUCAUGAAGCGACAAAUUUUCCUUUAAAAUAAUAAUUAUUUGAUAUAUUAAAUUCAAAAUUAAAGCAAAUAUGGUGAAACUAAAAAGAGUGUUUCAUUUGCUUGUGUCACACCAAAAUGUUCAAUGUGUUUUCUGCAGCAACACUGAUGGGAAACAUUUUAGUAAUCCAGUUGUAACCCAGAAUAUUUCUCCCUCCUGCUGUCUGUGUUGCAUAAGAAACAGCUCAACACUUACUUAACAAACUCCAAACUACUUCUGAGCACAGAAACCAAACAGUGAAUAAGAGAGCAAGAGCAUCUCUCCGGGGCUGAAGAUGAUUCAGAGAAACCUCAUCUCCACCAGAAACUUCAGAAAACAAGCCGCUGUUUUUGUUAUUUUUCUCUGUACCUGAGAGUAAAUAGACUGCAUGACAUUUUAAAUGUGGUUUUAUUCAAUGGUCUGUUAGAAGAAAGAGGAGAAUAUCAUGAUUCAACUUCUGAGCAGAAAGUUACAGAGUUGGAAUUAUACCAGAAGCUAAUUUGAUGUGUUUUAAGAAUAUUUUAUAGCAUAAUAACUCCUAAAUUUAUGGACUCACUCAUUCUUUACCAAGUGGUUCUGGAGAAAACUUUGCUGCUCCUGACCAGGUUCUCUCCCUAGAAAAUCAUCUAAUUACCCACUCUGA